rnacentral:tRNA from 1 species
AAGAACGUAGUUUAUUAAGAAUAUUGCAUUGUGGCUGCAAAGGUAUACUUUAAGUAUCUUUCUUC